rnacentral:rRNA from 1 species
AAUGAACGCUGGCGGCAUGCCUAACACAUGCAAGUCGAACGAGACCUUCGGGUCUAGUCGCGCCCGGGUGCGUAACGCGUGGGAACCUGCCCUUAGGUUCGGAAUACCUCCCCGAAAGGGGUGCUAAUACCGGAUAAUGUCUUCGGACCAAAGAUUUAUUGCCUUUGGAUGGUCCCGCGUUGGAUUAGCUAGUUGGUAGGGUAAAAGCCUACCACGGCGACGAUCCAUAGCUGGUCUGAGAGGAUGAUCAGCCACACUGGGACUGAGACACGGCCCAGACUCAUACGGGAGGCAGCAGUGGGGAAUAUUGGAAAGUGGGCGAAAGCCUGAUCGAGCUAGGCCGCGUGAGUGAUGAAAGUAUUAGGGUUGUAAAGCUCUUUUACCCGGGAUGAUAAUGACAGUACCGGGAGAAUAAGCCCCGGCUAACUCCGUG